rnacentral:rRNA from 1 species
UUGAACGCUGGCGGUAGGCUUAACACAUGCAAGUCGUGCGAGAAAGUAUCUUCGGAUAUGAGUAGAGCGGCGGACGGGUGAGUAACGCGUAGGAAUCUACCUAGUAGAAGGGGAUAGCCCGGGGAAACCCGGAUUAAUACCGUAUACCUCCUUCGGGAGAAAGAAGGCCUCUCUUUGAAGCUUUCGCUACUAGAUGAGCCUGCGUAAGAUUAGCUUGUUGGUGAGGUAAUGGCCUACAAGACUAUGAUCAAUAGCUGAUUUGAGAGGAUGAUCAGCCACAUUGGGACUGAGACACGGCCCAAACUCCUACGGGAGCAGCAGCAGGGAAUAUUGU